rnacentral:lncRNA from 1 species
AUGUGAUUGGAUCCUAGGACGAGAUGUUCAUCCCUAUCCAUUGCUCGGUAGAAUGUGAUACUAAGUGUUAGCAAUCAUGCCCAAAGUCACUCCGCUGAUGGUCAAGGUCUAAUUAUGUGUAUAUGAAUACUUGUUGUGAAAUGCUAAGAUUCAUUUGUCAAGCUAUAUAUAUGUAUAGUAUGGAUGAUGAUGCUAUUCUGAAUGCAUAAUUAGGUUGUAUGAAUUGUUUUCAAAGGAACUAUAUUUGAACAUUACAAAUUUUGGAGUUUAAAGAAAUAUGGAUUAAUGUAUAAGAUUAUAUA